GACGAACGCUGGCGGCGUGCUUAACACAUGCAAGUCGAACGGAAAGGCCCUGCUUUUGUGGGGUGCUCGAGUGGCGAACGGGUGAGUAACACGUGAGUAACCUGCCCUUGACUUUGGGAUAACUUCAGGAAGCUGGGGCUAAUACCGGAUAGGAGCUCCUGCUGCAUGGUGGGGGUUGGAAAGUUUCGGCGGUUGGGGAUGGACUCGCGGCUUAUCAGCUUGUUGGUGGGGUAGUGGCUUACCAAGGCUUUGACGGGUAGCCGGCCUGAGAGGGUGACCGGCCACAUUGGGACUGAGAUACGGCCCAGACUCCUACGGGAGGCAGCAGUGGGGAAUAUUGCACAAUGGGCGGAAGCCUGAUGCAGCAACGCCGCGUGCGGGAUGACGGCCUUCGGGUUGUAAACCGCUUUCGCCUGUGACGAAGCGUGAGUGACGGUAAUGGGUAAAGAAACACCGGCUAACUACGU
rnacentral:rRNA from 1 species